CGGACGGGUGAGUAAUGUCUGGGGAAAUGCCCGAUGGAGGGGGAUAACUACUGGAAACGGUAGCUAAUACCGCAUAACGUCGCAAGACCAAGAGGGGGACCUUGGGCCUCUUGCCAUCGGAUGUGCCCAGAUGGGAUUAGCUAGUAGGUGGGGUAACGGCUCACCUAGGCGACGAUCCCUAGCUGGUCUGAGAGGAUGACCAGCCACACUGGAACUGAGACACGGUCCAG
rnacentral:rRNA from 1 species